UGGAUGAGGCAUGCAAGUCGAACGUGAAAGCCGCAAGGUGAGUAGCGUGGCGGACGGCGAGUAACACGUAAUCAAGCUGCCUGCGAGACGGGGAUAACCUCGGGAAACCGAGGCUAAGACCCGAUGGUCUGCCGGGACCGCAUGGUUCUGGUAGUAAAUGGGCGGGGAUCCUUCGGGAUCGCCUGCUCGCAGAGGUGAUUGCGGCCCAUCAGCUAGUUGGUAGGGUAAUGGCCUACCAAGGCAACGACGGGUAGCCGGCCUAAGAGGGUGGUCGGCCGCACUGGGACUGAGACACUGCCCAGACUCCUACGGGAGGCUGCAGUCGAGAAUCUUCCGCAAUGGGCGAAAGCCUGACGGAGCGACGCCGCGUGGAGGACGAAGGCCUUCGGGUUGUAAACUCCUGUCACGAGUUAAGAAGGCGCAUGUGCGAACAGCAUAGGCGUUUGACGUAAGCUCGAGAGGAAGCACUGGCUAACUCUGUGCCAGCAGCCGCGGUAAUACAGAGAGUGC
rnacentral:rRNA from 1 species